CCUGCGCUGCAGAGAGAAGUGAAGCUUCAAGGUCGAGUGGCCGCCAUUUGUCAGAAAGGCAAAACAUUGCUUAUAGUUCCAAAAAGUGUUGGUUUAUUAAAAGCGAAAUAUGCCGGCAUCGUGUUCCGCAUUUGGGUGUACAAAUCGGUUUAAACCAGGAGGAAACAUCCAGUUUUUUGGAUUUCCCCUGAAAAAUGAAAAGCUCUUGGAACAGUGGGUUAGAGUAAUGAAAAGAAAAAAAUUUACACCAACAAAAGCCAGUAAGUUGUGUAGCGACCCUUUCACUGAAAGUGAUUAUUUGGUGCGUCCUGGCACGUAUUUACUGCUUAGGU